UAACUUCCAGCUUCUAACCUCUAAUAUCUAAAUCGUUAGUGGACGGACGGGUGAGUAACACGUUGGAACCUAGCCCAAGUAAGGGAUAAGCCACCGAAAGGUGGUCUAAUACCUUAUAGUAUCCAUCUCGUAUGGAUUAAAGCUUUAUGCGCUUUGGGAGGGGCCUGCGUUUGAUUAGCUAGUUGGUGAGGUAAAAGCUCACCAAGGCGACGAUCAAUAGCUGGUUUGAGAGGAUGACCAGCCACACCGGGACUGAGAUACGGCCCAGACUCCUACGGGAGGCAGCAGUAAGGAAUCUUCCACAAUGGGGCAACCCUGAUGGAGCAAUACCGCGUGCAGGAUGAAGCGUUUCGGCGUGUAAACUGCUUUUAUCACCGAAGAUUAUGACUGUAGGUGAAGAAUAAGGACCGGCUAACUACGUG
rnacentral:rRNA from 1 species